CUCCCACCUGCAGGACACAGACCUACAACUCCUAUGAGGAGAGCUACACCUCGACUGCCAGGAGGGAAGGGACAGGGGAAGAAAUCCUCAGCAGUGAUUCAGGGGAGGCUGGUGGCCAGCCCAAAGAGCCCUCGGGCCAGCCCAGUCUGCUCCUGCAGUACCAAGAGUCAGGACUCAGCUCCAGCAGCCAUGAGCUCAGCCUGUACAUCCGUGACGGUGCCGACCACGACGACCCUGUGCUUCCAGGGUCCUGGAACGUGGGAGAAACAGGGGGGUCCUCAGCGUCCACCCCGACCCCAGCAGUCCCCCUCAAGUUCCCACAGCUGCACACGGCGCUGUGCUUUGGAGCUGGGGGUCAUCUGGUGCUGGCGUGUCCCCACCACCCUGCUGAGGGACAGCUGCCCCGUGUCGAGCUGCACAGCUUGGA
rnacentral:lncRNA from 1 species